UACGUAGGGUGCGAGCGUUUAAUCGGAAUUACUGGGCGUAAAGCGUACGCAGGCGGUUUUGUAAGCCAGAUGUGAAAGCCCCGGGCUUAACCUGGGAAUGGCAUUUGGGACUGCAAGGCUUGAGUGCGGCAGAGGAGACUGGAAUUCCUGGUGUAGCAGUGAAAUGCGUAGAUAUCAGGAGGAAUACCGAUGGCGAAGGCGGCAUCCUGGACCGAUACUGACGCUGAUGAGCGAAAGCCAGGGGAGCAAACGGG
rnacentral:rRNA from 1 species